UAUAUAUAUAUAUAUAGUUAGAGUUAUCGUGAUACCCUGGUGGUAGUAGUGAUUCAUAGAUAUCAAAGCUGGUAGGACUGUUGUUUCUGUUCUCCUAUGGAAGCUUGCAUAGCAUCAUCAGAUAUAUCCUUGAAGUCUCAGCAACACAGCUGUCUAAACAAUAAACUUCUAAAAUGAAUGGGGAAUACCCAAGUGACCUCAACCAUAUACAAAGAACUAUAGAAUUUCAAGAGUAGGAUAAAUAAUCUUCUCUAAGGAAGAGCAUAUCAACUAGUUAUCUGAUAUCAAAUGGACAGUUCUGAAACAUACAUAUACGUAACUUUAUGCAGACUGAGUUUGUUAUACAUAUGUAUUUUAGAAUAUCUAUCUAUCUAUCUAUCUAUCUAUCUAUCAUCUAUCUAUCUAUCUAUCUAUCUAUCUAUCUAUCUAUCUAUCUAUCUAUCUAUCUUUGAUGAAAUAAAAUUAAGGAAAAACAAGACCAUGGAUUUGAAGAAAGGAGAGUUAUACAGGAGAGGUUUGGGGGAGAAAGGAAAGGAGAGAAUGACGCAAUUAUAUUAUAAUCUCAAAAGAAACUAUAAAAGAAAACCACUUUAUUUUCAAAACCAUGUGGGAUCUGGAUUUGGUCCAAGAACCACAGUUUGAUCGCUUGUUUUACAGAACCUACGAAGGCAACACAUAUUAUUUUAUUCUUCCUUGUUUCUCAGUUUCUUCCCCUCAUCUGUGUUUCUUCCUUCUCUCUUAUUUCCUUGCUACUUUAUUUCUUAUCUUUUGACUGUGUGCUCAGCAUGUAUCCAUUCCAACAAACUGUCUUUAAGUUAUGGUGUUUUCAUAUUGCUGGUUUUAUGCAAUGUAUAAAAUUGAACACUGGGCCUGGAAAGGUGGCUCAGGCAAGAGAGUUCUUGAUGCUCAACUCUGAGGACCUGAGUUUGCUUCCUCAGAUCACUUGUGAUGAUGUGUUCUUGAGAUCUCAGAGCUGGAGGGACAGAGACAUGAAUAUCCUUGGGGCAUUAUGCCCAGGUAUUUUAGCCAAAUUGGUAAAUUCUAGGUUCAAUAAAAAACCUAUUUCAAAAUGCUGAAGAGAAACACAACAGAGAAAGACAUCUACCUUUAACAUCUGGCACUCUACAUGCACAUAUACAAUCAUGUAUAUAAACACACACACACACACACACACACACACACACACACAGAGAGAGAGAGAGAGAGAGAGAGAGAGAGAGAGAGAAUGCUCCAUUAGAAUCUCAUUGCUGAGUGCUCUUAAUUUUAAGACACUUGUUCCACAUAAAUUUUCAUACUGUAUUCUAUUUUAUUCUUGAUGCCUUUUCUGACAACCUAGUUUGUGCUCUUUCUCUUUCUCUCUCUUUGUCUCUGUUUCUCUGCCUCUCUAUCUGUCUUUCUCUGUCUCUCUCUCUCAGUAUGUGUAUGUUUCUGUCCAUCUCUUUCUGUGUAUGUGCAGUAUGUGUCUAAAUAUAUGUGAAUGUCACAGGAUAACUUCAGGUGUCAUUCCUCAGAUGCUGCUCUUUUUGACCUGGACCUUGUCUCUUUUUGACUUGGGAAUUUAUUACUAGGUGAGGCUGCAUGACCAAUGAGCCCCAGAGGCUUACCAGCUUCUACCUACCCAAUGUUAGGGUUACAAGUACAUACCACCACACCCAGUGUCUUCUUCUUCUACAUAGGCUCUAAGGAUCAAAUACAGAACGUUGCAACUUAACCAAUGCCACCCUGCCCCACCCCCAUUUCUCUUGCUAGAGUUGAGUGUUUGCUACUGUCAUUAUGGUGAUUCACACUUUCUCUCUGGUAGGAUCAGAUUUUGCUCUUCUUGUCUCUAUGAACCAAGCCAUUUUGCAUGGCUUCCUACUUUCAUCUUGUACAGAGAUAGCUGCUUUGGUGAUAUUAUUUCCAUGAUGUGUAUCUAUCUGAUGAUUGUAAUUUUCCUUCCAGAUAUAACUGGGACUGGUUUUGCCCAGUCUUGUGAGAAGUGACAAGAGAAUAUAGAGAUCUGAAUGACAGAGUUUGUGUUAUUGUAUGGCCAGUCUGAUAGAGAAGAGAUGGCAGAAAUUCUAAUGCUGUGUCAAGAACAUGCUGGUGGAGUCAGACUUGGGAAAGUUGAUUUCAAGAUGAGAGUAACAUCAGAGACAGCUCUAGUUUUGCCUCUAAGUUUUAUUUUCCUAUGUAUGAGUUCACUGUAGCUUCACUGUGUCUGGUGGCAAUUCCAAAACCUUCUGCAUCUUCAGUCUUCUUUUGAAAACUUUCAUGUGUUUACUACAUUUUUCAAUCACACUUUUCACUAGUCCCAACUAUUGGCUUCUGUUAGUCUUUCUUGCAUAUAGCAUGCCAGUUUUGCCUCCAUGCCUAAUGUUCCUUACCAUGUUACCAAGUGUGUCACCCCUAAUAGGACAGUUAGCCUCAAUGAUUCACAGUUUCCUCAUGUUUAAAAUAAAAGUUUGAAUAUUUACUUUUAUACUUGUUCAUUUAAGAAUUGUAAGAAUUUUCUGAAAUAUUACACUGAAAACAUCUUCCCCAACCUUUGACACUCAGUACGUCCACUGAAACCGCCCAUUUUUUUUUCUCCUUGGAUCUUCUCUUCUUGCUUUCUACCUGUCUGAAUCUUAAUCACAUUUCUAGACUGACUUAAGUUUUUGUAGCCGUCUGAAAAUUUCUAUAACCUUUUCAGCCAACUGCUGGCUUUUAUCCUGUUCUUAAGAAGCUAAUAAACAAAGGCUUAGGAUACAAUAUGCUUAUUUUUGGCUCUAUUCUGCUAUGUGUCUGCUUUAUGCUUUCCGUUUAUGCACACUUGAGUCUAAGCCUGCCUCUCUCAAUAAGCGGUCCUAAGAUCUGAAGCUGCUGACCUCCCGUGAGCUUCUAUUGCCUCAUUGGUAGAAUUAGACUAAGAAUAAUGUCCCUGGUGAUAAAGUUACCAUCCAGUUUCUUUUUGGUUAUAAGUCCUUAGAAAACUUAUGAUCAAAAAUAGUUGUUAUUUAUGUGCAUCUUUUUUCUUCUUUUCCCACCUGGCAUCAUGAUGGGCAUCAGAAGGCAAUCCUGUUGGUACUUUUAUUGUUCUACCACAGUAUACAGAAGAGCGCAUUAAAUACUUUCCGAAUAAAAGGUGACAAGUUACUUCCAGGUGGAUUUUGAGGAUUAGUGGGCCAUGGGUUAAAUCUUUGGCCAGAUAAAGCUACCAUCCAUCCCUCUAUCUAUCAGUAAAUGUACAUUUUUAUAACAUGACUACCUUCAUUUCUUGCACCAUUGCCAUCACUGUUACUAUUGUCAACUAAGGCAGACAGACUGCAUGCUCACUCCAACUCGAUAAUGCUGGAUUGAGAAGAGAAAAUCUACCACAGGGAUAUCUCCGUAAACGUUCUGGGCUUAAGACUAGGCGAUUGAACCUUGGAACUAAUGCAAACAUCUAUAAAUGCACUCUCUGGAUGCUGGAAGGAAGCUAGAGCGAUUGUGAUUUCUUUCAGCAACUUCUGCCUUUUUGCUUCUAUAUUCUUUAUCACCCUGGAAACAGAUGACCAUUUGGCAGUAAGUUUGAAUUUAAUGCUAAGUGCACUGACUCAAAAUCAAGGUUGUCCUCUUAUUUCAUUGGCUGCUAGCAUGUUUUCUUUCUCUUGACUUAUCACUAAGCAGCACUGGAUCACUGGAUCCACUUCACUGAAGGUACAUAGUGCACAUUUCUUUCAGGCUUUUAUUGAUACAGUACUAAUACAAUGAGUUACAAAAAAAAUGGGGUAUUUUUUUUAGGUGGGGAGUGACUGGAAAAUAAACUUAUGAUCUCAUAAUAAAAUGUAAAUUUCUACAACUGAACAAUACCCUAAGCUCCUAUUUAAUCAUGAUUUCACUUAUGUGUAAAUAAAGUGCUUUCUCUUUCUAGAUGAGAAAACAAAAGCACUCCAGUGGUUACUUAUAUGUAACACAAUAAAAUAAAAUAAAGUCACACAAUAAUAGCUUUAAGAUACUUGCGUUACCAUUCUUGUAUUCUUGCCUUCUUUUCUUGUAAUUCAGAUUUCCAGCUGAGAUUAGCUACCCCCGAAUCAUUUGUUAAAUGUGUGCCCCUUGUCAGACAGUGUAGUUGCUGCCAGUGAUGGGGGAAACAGAAGAGUUAGGUGCGCUUCCUGUCCAUUAAACUUCCAAGACCAUUUGGGGUAGGAAAAACAGAUUACUUCAUCAGAAUGUGAUGCCUGUUCAUUAGUCACAUAUCCAGAGUGUUAGAGCUGCAAAGGGAGGGGUGCGGCCUCCUGACUCUGCAGGAAAUUGUCACAGAAUAGCAAUAGCAAUCGAACAUAAAGAUGGAUAGAUGGGGGUGUGUCAAGUGGAACAGUGGCUGAGACACACCGAAAGACGGAAACUGGAAUCGUGAAUAAGCUCAGACAUGGUGAAAGAAAGUCUCCUAUUAGUGGAAUACAAUGAAGAUAGCCAUCUUCAUUGCAAAAUGUUUUCUUCAGUGGCUAGGAACCAGGCACAGAUAUGUCACAUUAGGGGUGUGGCCAUAAUCCAUUAGGGCCAAGGCAAAUCGGACUUUUAUUUCUUUUUCAACUUCCCUCAGUGACCUUGUCACCUGAAAUGAAAUUUCCUUGCCAAAUGUGCUGUGACAAUCAUCCUUCCUUCACCUUUUGGAAACGUUUGUCUCCCAGGAAGCAUAGCAAAUGUGUAAUCCACCACAUGCCCUAGCUUCUGCAAGAGCCUACUGCUGGAGUAGGCACAAUAUUGUGUCCAUAUGUGUAUCAUAUGCCCCAGUGUCCUCUGUCCUUAAGGAGCUGGCUGCCUCUUCCAGCUGUCUGAGAGUCAAGAUGACAAAUGGCAUAGGCUGUGGCUAUCAGGGAAUAUGACCCCAGAGAGGAGCCAGGAUUCUCUAGGAUUGCCCAUAAAGAACUUCUGUGUUCUUGCUCAGCUCUCCUGUGUCUAAUUCAUUUAUUAAGCUUGAGGGAGCUGACAGUGUUCACAAGGCUGUUUCCUCUACCUGUUGUAUUGCUGUGUUGUAACGUCAAGGCUGCUUUUCACUUGAGAGCUAGAUGGCGCAAUCACAGGGAGAGUGUUCAACUUGUGGCUUCCUUGUUUCCCACAGCCCUGGAGGAGGCCUCCUGGAGCCAGUGGAAAUUUCAGUGAGGAGAGGAGUUUCCUGGCUGCUGUUUGCUUUGGAGCAUACGGGGAGAUCUUUGUGGCUAUUUCAGUGUGUCAUUGAAGGAUACUUUUCUUUUCAAUGACAAUAUGGGAGAGUAAAGAGCCCUGGAUUAAAAAUGAGAAAAGAGAAGUGAAAGAGAACCAAACGGGAAAGAAAUAUUGCAAUUUUUAUCUUAGACUCAUUGUUCCUCUCAGGCAGUGUCCCAGGUUACGGUGCCCCAUGGUGGGUCUUGUGAAACUGGCUUAUUCCUGAUGACUCUUAAUUAAUAAGAUUUUGUUGAAUCUUAAAGGACAUCAGGUAAUGAGGAAGACUUCUAGGUUGUAAAGUGGGUUUUUUUUUUUGAAUUUGUUCAAUGUUCAGUGUUUAAUUUUCUUUUAAAACAGUUAAACAUUGUCAUGGUUUCCUGUCCCCCUGCCAGUAAAUAGAUCCCAACUAGUCCUUUUAGGAUAUUUUUCCCCCUUUGAGUCAAUGGAAAGAUAACGCUUCAUCUUUUUUGAACUUAGACAUAAUGCUUCUUUUGUUAUCUCAGUAUUUAUGUAUCUUAUACAUAGAGCGAAGCCCCUGCAGGUAUCCGGUAUGACUUUAUUUUCCUUUCUGCUUGGUGUGACAUGGGCGGUAAAGAACACAGUCUGUUUUAUCAACCUUAACUGAAUUUCCACUUGCAGUCUUUAUAAAUAAAAAAAACUUUUCUUAACUGAUCUCACUUGAAUGAAUAAAGAGCAUAUAGCUCUCAGAAAAUUCAUGAACUGGGAUCAUGUUUAUUCUAUGAUUACAAACUGCAUAAUGCCUUUAUUUAAACUCAAUGAUCAGGGAUUUAUAUUGGUCCUUAAUGCAGCACAAUGGGAUAUGAUUGUUUACAGCAUUUGUGUAGGAAUAUGUGUUCUUUUUAUUCUCAGAGAGUCACAAGAUGAUAAUUAUCCUGGGACAUCUGCCUCAAAUCAUGGAUGUAGGAUGGAGAUCAGUGGUUGCUUCCAUUGGCCACCAGUCUGGGUCUGUUGGCCUUCUCACAGCCAAGCUGGCCAUGCCAUUUGAAUUCUUCCCAGGGAGAUGGGAAUGGCCACAGAAACGAUAUGUAGCAUGUUGCUCCUGGGCUAUUAAAACCCUUUGUUGUGAGUGGUCCCACCUUCUCUUUUAAUUCUGUGGUUUACAAAAACAGAACACAGCAUGAAGCUGCAUGGAAAACAGAAACAAUAGGGCUAUGGCAUCAAACUCCUUUAGGAAAGAGCACAAGAAUGUCUUAGGCCUUGUGGAUGAUGUAGUCUUAGUCAGUUGUUGUAGUUAGACAACACCAAGUUGAUAUGAUAAUGACCUAAUGCUUACCACAUCCAGGAAAGACCUCCCCCCGCCCCAUGUCAACAUUUAAGCUCAAGUUCUUAGUCCACACUUUCCAAAAGUACUCACUACUGGAACAUUUCCUCUUUUUGAUUAACUUGGUUUUGAACCUGAGCAGCAUUAACUCUGGCUGAUUUCAUGCAAGGGACAUCACAAGGACAAAUGUCUGAUUUCAGAACAAAUGUCUAGUCAUUGGAUAAGAGGUCCCUCAGCAGUUCUAGAAUGGGAAAUGGGGGUGGUUCUCCUAUUACUGUCCUAGUAUCUUUGCAAUCCUUUCUUACCUACUAUGGGAUAAUUGAUGGACUUGUGGGCAGAUAAGUAAAGGGGAACUGGUUUCCUCUUCUGUUUCUUUCUCUUUAUAGCAGAGAAACACAUUUUCCUUAACAACAAUGUUGAAGAGUUCUCAUUAUAGAAACAAAAACUAUUUUUUUAUUUAAGGACCAGGGAUAAGGGGCUCAACAAUAUCUUUCAGGGUGGCUGGUUGAGGAGGAAGAGGAAAGAGGCAUAUCAAAUGUUGGAUGCUAUCUCAACUUAGCAUCUUUAAAGAGAGGCACUAGAAAGAAAUAGGAAAUCCAUGAAACCAAGCAUGAGAGUGUAGAAAAGAGCUGUCACAACAUUUUAGGGCAUGCUGCAAGGCAUGCCACAUUUUUUAUGAUAUUUUGAAAGCUCCAUAUGAAUGGAGAACUCUCUGGUGUGCUCCCACACUCCUCAGGUUGUCUUCCAAGGUGACACUGAUCACGGUUAUUGAUUUUUGUCAUUUCUUAUUUUCUGCUUGAGUCCAAAGUUCCUUGACGUAGGGUCCUGGUUAUGAGCAAUAUAGUAACAAUGGCUAGGUCUUCCAUAGCCCACUCACCGAUCAUUUGUCCUGUAGUUAAUCAGUUGUUGGCCAGGACUGUUCGCUCUAAUAUCUGCAGUAGCAGUUGACACUAUUUAUUCUCCUUCUGUUCUGCACUGUUAAUUUUCCAGCUCAUCUCUGACUGCAGUGUUCCUUCCUUGGACCAGUCUCAUUCUCACCCAGGAGUGACAUUGGUUCAUCUCAUUGGCCUGCCUGUGGUCCAACACUCUCACUGCAGGGCUGAUGGAGUUCCAAUAUGUGACAGAUGCAACUCACAUCAAUACAUAGACACACAUCGAAUCCGCAGCAUUUGAGGACCUCAGAACAGGGAAUCAUGCCAACUACUUUUAGGGAAGAGAGCCAUGAUGAUUUCCGCUCAGUGCUUAAGAACCGACUAGCCAGGAUUCCCUCACCACAGAAGGAAUUUAUGCAACUACAGGUAGAACAGACUCAUCUACUCAUCCAAUCAGGUAAGGUACCUUGCUCUAUGAUUGGAUGUGUUUAUGCCCAUAUCCCUGUAUUUUUAUCAGUUCUCCAUAUAUGUAGUAGAUCAAAAAUUCUUUGCAAACCCUUUAGUGAAUUAAUAUAGGGCAGAGCUGAACACUGGUCUUUGAAUAUGUGAUACAAAUUUAAAUUCUUCCUGACAGUGGAGCACAAACAUGUAUUUAAUAAUUAAUGGAUGUCAGAGAUGAACUCUGAAUUAGAGCUGAUUACAGCCACAUGGCUGACACCCUCUAUUCAUUUCUUAUAUACUACAUGCCAGCAUAGAUUUGCAGAAUUUUGAGCUUAUUUGUAUAGCUGCAGCAGAUGAAUGGGGCUGCGUAUAGCUUCAGCUCUGUUCUACCUGGCACUAAUUCGCUUAAUGGCUCAACAAAUGUAUGGGCCCUAGUACUGGGUGAUGAGCAUUCUUCUAAGACCUGCUGCUUGAGAAUAUGUAGAUCACUGGAGGAAAAAGAGAAUGAAACAGGGAGCUGAUAUGAUUUAUUCAUUGAACAUUUUCAGAGCACAGUACAGCAGAUGCUAUCAUAGACUUCAGCCCAAGACACAGUCCUGUCUAUUGAGGGCCCUCUCCUGGGGGAAAGUUCUCUAGAUCUCUUUCCUUGCUCAAAUGAAGCAUCUUAUCUCUGUUACCCAUGUGUUCACACGUGUGUUUGAUUUCUUUAAUGAUUUUGUUUUUCUGUCUAUAACCUCUGGAACCUGUGUGCUUCUUUAGGGUAGAAUUGCCACCAUGUUCAGGUUCAGCUUAGACUCUAGUCUCCAGGAAAAAACUUAGAGCCGAGCAGAUGGACCCAGGAGCAGGACAGCAUGGAUAUCUUUCUGAGUCUUGUAGACUGGGCAGUAUGAGUUUGAGAACAGGGAAUGAUUCUUUUUUUGGGGGGUGGGUGGGUGGGUGGGAAUGCACACCACAGAUGCAUAUACAUGCAAGAAACUGGGAUUGGGAACUGAUACAGGUUUUGCUAGGAAACUAAAGGAAGUUUUAAAAAGAUCCCUGGGGAGUUUUUCUUGCCCAUAGUGGCCUCUGUCCUUUAUUUAUCCUGCUUGUCCAGAGCAAGUGCCUGGGAGACUCUGCUGGCCUGAUAUUGAGUGGGUUCCCAGUCCUCAUGACUUCUGGCAACCCAUUUUAUAGGUGAGGAUCUUGAGGCUCAGAGAUGAGAAGUAUGUAAUGGGGGCAGAGCCAGCCCAGUUUCGGUUGCUGCCCUCAAAUAUAGCUGCCGCUUCAUUCCCUGUGUUCUCUUGCCAGCUGCAGAUUCAGAGGUUCCUGCCAGCCCAGAGAGGAUUUCCUUUUGGAUAGCGUUCAGAUUGGUCAGACGUGUUGCUUCCUUAUCUAUUGCUGUUGUUGAAGAGGAGCCAGCUGGGCCUGUGGGUUUCCAAGAUGCAAAUAGACAGCAAGACAGGACGAAGUCUCCUCUAAUUAGAAAGACACUCUUCCUGCUCCAGUUUGCAUGGAAAGCAGACAAUCCUAUAUGGAGACCAGGGAACUGAAGGUUAGGUAUUAAAAAAAGACAUGGGAAGAAGGGAUGAGGUUAGGAUGACAUUUAUUGGAGGAAUGGGGGUCAUGCCCAUCCUUGCCCCAAAUUAAACAUCUUCCUUCAAAACACACACACACACACACACACACACACACACACACACACACACACACCACAUAUACACACACAAAUAUAGAAACUUAACACACAUAUACAUGCACACACACAUGCACAUACAUGUGCACACACAAAUGGGGAAACAAGCACACACACAAAUAAGACACACACAGACACACACACACACACAGACACCACAACAUAUAAAUUAAUAUACUCACAAAUCCAAAAUAAAGGAGUAAAGCCAGGAACAUUUGGGUAAGAACUUGAGCUAAGGUCUUUAGGUUUCCUUAGAUAGCCUUUUAUUAACAGAGGAUAGCUUAAAUACUAGACUUAUUUUCUAACUGGUACAGAUAUCUUAUAAUGGACAGAUUUUAGAAUAGCUUAGAGUGGGAGCAGCUUGAACCCAAGGAUAUACUAAGAAUUGGUAUUAUAUGUUGGACUUAGAGCAUCCUGAAUUUCUGGCUUCAAGACACAUUAGCUUUGUGAUUCUAGCAAGGUGUUUGAUGACUCUGAACUGAAAUUUCUUCAUCUUGUAAAAUAAAGGUGAUAUCUGCAUCACAUGCCUCAGAUGAUUAAGUAGAAUACAGAACAGUAAGAUUGAAUCAUGGUGUCUGGCAUACUCUGGACAUUCAAGGGCAUGUGACCUCUAAGAACUGAUUGUCUUUGCCAGGGUGGAGUGAAUUAGUUUCUGGGGUCGGGUACUUUCAGCAUUAAAAGAGAGUCAAUUAUAGGUUAACUAGAAAUGUUUUCUUAUUUGGGACACCGCUGAUUCUAAGAGUGAGAUAGAUUCCCCCAAGUGAGGGAGGGGCAGAGGAACUCCUCUUAUUUUUUGGUUAAGUAAUUUGACCUAAAAAAGGAAAUGUGAAGGAUUGAGGAGACUCCAUGUUUCUUCAUUCAAAUGCUGACUGUAAGAUCACUAACCAGUGUAAAGAUCCUAAAAGGGAGGCUGAAUGACUUGGCGGUCCUCCACAGAUAUGAUAUAUCAUUUCUCUGACUAUCAUCCUGGGCACUAUUUUUGGUGACUCCAUUGUUCUAUCUGGGUCUUUUUCCUAAUUUGGGGGGAAAAGACAGGCUGGGGAGCAGUAUCAGCAUAUACUUAUCCUGGUGUUUACUGUUCACAGAUGUGGAUUUAUGUCAAUCUCUCCUGUGAUAUGUUCCAUAGUGGAGCAAGGAGGGGGGUGUUAUCAUUAUCCUCUGUGCUUGUUUUCGUCAAUUUUCAGAUAUAGAAACCAGUGUGUAAGGGAGACAGCAUAUGCUGUCUUAACACACAGCUAGGAAGUAGUUCUAAUAGAACUCCAGCCAAGAACUUUUGAAUCAAUGGUCUCUUUGUAGUGACAUUUUUCUUUCUUGCUAAGCAAGUAGUUGCACACUUCUUUGUCAUCUUACUCAAAUGUAUAUGCUCUCCUCUUGGGCUAAGAGACAAAGUACCACAAUGGGAAGGUCCUGAGUAAAGGGCCUCCACUAAACUGGUCUCUCAAGCCAUCUUCAUCACCUGUGCUGUCUUCAGUGAUAGGAGAAAAUUACAAAGUCUUACUUUUUUAUCAGGAAGAAAAAAGAUUCUCUAAC